AGCUGCCUGGGGAAGAAGAGGGGGAACGCGCUCAGCUCGGGGUUGUUGUGCGUGACGUUGUCUGCUGCUCUCUGAGGCUACGGUGGGGUGGUGCGGGAACAACGCCCGGUACUUUGGAAUGCAGAAAGCUUCCUCUUCCGGCAGCCACGACCGAGAUGCUUAGAGCUCCAAGGCUGCCGACCCUCGCCUGCCAUCCUUUCCUCAGCCUCCGAGGUUUCGCACCUCCGUCGCGCUUCUGGCCGGUCCAGCGGACCCCUGAGCAGAAAAGGCGCGCGACCUAGUCUGGACUUUGCGUGCGGGGGCCACUGGCCUGCCAGUGCAGGGCCGCGAGGGGUGUGGGCUCAGAGUUUGGCGGCGCGCGGCUGGUGGAGAGCCCUGCCCAAACACUCGCCACAGCUUUGACCUCCAGCAGGAAAGGCCUCGCCCAGGAUCUUCGGGCGGGCAGCCGCCUUCAGCGUUUCUCACUACCCUAACGAUAGGAUUUAAGCUCUAUCUGAACGCCUAGCAAGUUACACUAAAUGAUUUCAAGUGGAAACAAUCUCAAGCCUGUAUAUACAGAACCCUUGACACUGAGAAUUCAUGGCUUGUUCAUGGCUGGCACAGAGAAGAGUGUUUCCUUGUUCCCUCAGAAGCCUCCAUUUGUGGACGCAGGUGGCUGCCAGCAGUUUUCCUUUCAGAAGGGAAGAACUGUUUCUGAUGCUCUUCUAGGGAGAUUGACUGAAAGAAUUCUGAGGCCUACCGACAGACAAGAAGUUAAGUGUAUAACCUUCUUGUGGGAUUUGCUAACAGUAAUCCUCUUUGGACCACUCCUGCCUUCUAGAUAACCAUCAAGUUUAUUCUACUUUCCUUCCUUUUAAUCAUAAUAGAAGUCAUACCCUCCCCCAUUAAGGCUCUUGAAUGCCAGUUGUAAAUCCUUUUCCCCUCCCAUUGUUCCCUAUGCUCUAGCUGAUAAAACAAAAAAACUGGGCUUAAAAUACUUUUGCCUACAAAUCCAGGCUCUGUCACUUUCCAAAUCAUGUCAGCCUCAUCUAAGUAUAUAACUCUUUCUGAGCUAGCUCUAUUUUCCGUAUCAGCAUUAUGAAAUAAGUGUUUAUUUCCUCCAGCCCCACUAGGCCCACCCUAGGAAUCAGGUGUCAUUCUUUCUCACAGGAACCCACCACCUGAUUAGAAACUACCAAGUAAUUUGUCCUCUUGCUUUCCACUUGGAUGAUAAACUCCUUGAAAGUAGGGAGUAGGCCUUCUAUUUCAUUUCUUCUUCCCCACAUUGCUUGUCACAUUUCUGCUUUUAUAACCAUCCCAAGAGUUGCUUUAUUGGUUGAGUACGGAUUUAAAAUCCAGAUCUAAAUUGGGUUUUAGCCUCCAUCUUUCAUGUUCUCUUCUACAUUUCCUAACAACUUUCCUGUAUUUCUCCUCCAGAUGAGAGUGUGAAAUAGAAAUCACAAAUAGCUUUGUUAGUGGCUUAAGGCCUUGUCAAAUAAUUCAUAAGAAUAUCUUCAGGGGUGCCUGAAGCCUCUGCCUUCAGCUCAGGUCAUGAUCCCAGGCUCCUGGGAUCAAGCCCGGCAUCGGCAUCAUCAUCAUCAUCAUCAUCAUCAUCAUCAUCAUCAUCACCACCACCAGCAGCACCAUCACCACCACCACCACCAGCAGCAGCAGCAGCAGUACCACCACCACCACCACCACCACCACCACCACCACCACCACCACCACCACCGGGCUCUCUGCUCAGCAGGGAGCCUUCUCCACUCCCCCAGCCCCCCGACCCCCGCCUGCCUCUUGUGAUCUCUG